rnacentral:rRNA from 1 species
GAUGAACGCUGGCGGCGUGCCUAAUACAUGCAAGUCGAGCGAACAGACGAGGAUCUUGCUCCUCUGACGUUAGCGGCGGACGGGUGAGUAACACGUGGAUAACCUACCUAUAAGACUGGGAUAACUUCGGGAAACCGGAGCUAAUACCGGAUAAUUUAUUGAACCGCAUGGUUCAAUAGUGAAAGACGGUUUUGCUGUCACUUAUAGAUGGAUCCGCGCCGCAUUAGCUAGUUGGUAAGGUAACGGCUUACCAAGGCAACGAUGCGUAGCCGACCUGAGAGGGUGAUCGGACACACUGGAACUGGGACACGGUCCAGACUCCUACGGGAGGCAGCAGUAGGGAAUCUUCCGCAAUGGGCGAAAGCCUGACGGAGCAACGCCGCGUGAGUGAUGAAGGUCUUCGGAUCGUAAAACUCUGUUAUUAGGGAAGAACAAAUGUGUAAGUAACUAUGCACGUCUUGACGGUACCUAAUCAGAAAGCCACGGCUAACUACGUG